CGAGAAGAAAGAGAAACAAAUGAUGAACGACUUAGAAGCUUCGGUCUACUUGAGCUGAGGGAGAAGGAUAAUGCUAUGUCGUCCCUGAAUGUCACCACCGCUUUUUUAUCACUCCGGCAACCGGAAUUUUUCUCCGACAAUGCAAAUCGUCGAUGCCUCAUCGGGAAUUUCCCUAGUCGGAAACCAACCAGGCCGCUCUCCGUCGCUGCAAAUUCUUCGGAGCCAUUGCUGUCGACUCCUGCCGAAAAGCCUGAGAUCGAGCUCGAAUUUAUUGGGCCGAAGCCGGGAAGCGACGGAUCGUUUCCGGUGGAUACGGUUAAGGCGAUAAGCGGCGAUAAGCUUUUGAGGAAUAUAAUGCUGGAUAAUAAACUCGAGUUGUACGCCCCCUAUGGAAAAUUGAUGAACUGUGGUGGUGGUGGAAGUUGUGGGACCUGCAUUGUCGAGAUACUUGAUGGGAAGGAUCUAUUGAAUGAGAGAACAAAUACUGAACUCCGUUACCUAAAGAAGAAACCCGAAAGUUGGAGGCUUGCUUGUCAGACAAUUGUUGGCAAUAAAGAGAACUCUGGAAAGGUGGACCAUUGGUUACAGGUUGUGGUCCAAAGGUUGCCCCAAUGGAAGAAGUGAUUUAGAGUGGCAUCUUUAUGUAGAGGCUGUGAUUUGUUGCAAAAAUCAAUAGAUAAUAUUAUCCUACACCCAACCAAUACUACCUUGAAAGCUGCUGCUCAUAAGUCACAAACAAAUUUGUGGCUUAGCACUCAAAUACUGCCUUUCUUGUUUUUUGGACGUACAGGUGGGACCAAGGGAAUAAAAAUAACAGCAGAGUUCACUAACACCAAGGAAUUAGUCAAACAUGAGUUGUAUUUACUCGAUCGAGGGAGAUUAGCAUAGGAUACAGGGAAAGGUAAAGAAAGAAAACCCCAAAAAACAGUUUUUUUUUUCUUCUUCUUUUUGGAUAAUUUAGUAAAAGCCACCUUUAGUUUAAAUUGCCACUUUUUUAAAAGGAAAAAAAGAGGGAAAACAAAGUUUAGAUU